rnacentral:piRNA from 1 species
UCUGAUUAGUAGUGUCUGAACCUCUUCCC